rnacentral:lncRNA from 1 species
GGGCUCAGGGGCCGAGAGGGAGCUGGGCUUGGGGCGGGGCCGAGACGGAGCGAGGGGUCCAGGGUGUGAGAAACGGGGAGGGGUUUGAGGAGGGGAUUGGAGUGUGGCUCAAGUUCGGGAGGCGUUACCUGCGGAGGGUUUGAGGCAGGCCCAGGAGCGAGCCCACGGUCUGCCGACGCGGGGCCAGCGGCGGGCCCCAGGAUCCGGAGCUUCGGGCGGGGCCGAGUCCAGGCAGGAAUCGGAGUGCCGUAGUACAAUCACAGCUCACUGCAGCCUCAAACUCCUGGGUUCCAGCGAUCCUCCCGCCUCAGCCUCCCCAGUAGCUGGGGCUACAGCCCAGUAAAGGCGCCAUUCCCCAUUUUACAGCUGGGGAAACUGAGUUACAGAGCUUGUCUACACUGAGUCAACAGGAGCAAAUGCUAGAUCAGGUCUAGCUGGAGUACAGUGAUGCAGUCAUAGCCCACUGCAGCCUCAAAAUUCCUGGGCUCAAGCAAUCCACCCACAUCAGCUUCCCAAGUAGUUGGGACUACAGGCCCACACUACUAUACCCAGGAUCUCUCUCUCUCUGCCACCCAGGCCAGAGCGCAGUUGAUGCAGGUCAGGGGAGCCCCCCAGUGGAGCAUAGUGUGUCCAGAACUGGUGGGUUGUUGGUCUCACUGACUUCAAGAAUGAAGCCACGGACCCUCGGGGUGAGCGUCACAGUUCUUAAAGGCGGUGCGUCCGGAGUUUUUUCCUUCUGAUGCUCGGAUGUGUUCAGAGUUUCUUCCUUCUGGUGGGUUGCUGGUCUCACUGGCUUCAGGAGUGAAGCUGCAGACCUUCAAGGCUGGAGUGCAAUGGUGCCAUCUCAGCUCGCUGCAACCUCUGCCUUCUGGAUUAAAGCAAUUCUCCUGCCUCAGCCUCCCGGGUAGCUGGGAUUACAGGUAGAAGUUGCUGGUCCCAUCUUGCUCACAAUCCUCCAAAGUUUGAAAGUUAUUUUCCAGGAGACUUGGCUUGCACUGAGAGCUGCCCUCCCACCCUCUCUCCAAAUUUCCUCUUGGGGGUAGCCUAACAAGGUGCUGUCACAGACCCUUGUCGGCCACGAUGACCCCACCCAGACCAUCCCUCUGCUGUUUCACUCUUUGAUAGUCUCUGGAGCUCUCUGGGGAGGGGUGAGACCUGCCGUCUAGUUUGUAUGGUUUGCCCAGGUCUUACAGUCAUGGCUGGCUGCCUCUCUCUGAGAACUAGAACUCCUGAACUUGGUGAAAGACCUCAGCCAUCGAUCAUGUUGAAUUAUCGGGGACACUCAUUUGAAAUCCGAGCCUGUUCCAGAUAGACUCUCUCUCUUUCUGCCCUGACCGUGAGAGAAGCCCUGCUGGACGGUGGAGACACUCGUGGGCUGUGAGCAAGGGAUGCAAAGGCUGCCGGGAAUCCCAUCUUUCCAGCAUCAUCUGCCAAGGCACAUUAGUUCCUGGGUAUCUGGAUGGGUUCUAGCAGCAUUACUGUCAUUGAAGGAAAAAUUUUAGCCAUAUUAAAGGUUAAUGCAGCAAUCUCCACAUAGGCUGCCUGGAAGGGAAGCAGGACAAGGUUAGGUUUUCCUUGUGAUGGACAGGAGGCAGGCGGCCCUCCCACAGCCCUGCCUGGCAAUACAGAUGUGUCCCCAAAAGGCACUGGGGGCCAGCUGGAGUGCUAUGCCGAGGCGGACUGACCCGGGCCGUGGGUUCACUCUGCUGGCAGCGGUUUCCCGCCAGCUCCUUGCAGAGUUGGCAGAUGGCCCAGCCCCACAGCAGGAGCCGGGAAUGGCAGAACGAGACACAACAAUUUGAUAUCCACUUGCCAGAUGAGCCGGGUGUCAUCAGUCGCCUGGCUCUAUGCCCAACCUCUUUUUGCAUAAACACUUAUGGAUUCAGCCAAGAGGAAAAGCACUCUGAUUAUGAAUUGAGCAGAAGGAAACAAAGUUCUGCAGAUAAACACCAAUGAAACAAAAAACCACGAAUAAGAAAAAUGACAGAAAAGGAGAACCUUCCCAGAAUCCUCCUGCCAGUGAACGGUCACCAGAGCAAGAGCAUGGAGUCCCUGGGUUUUGAACUGUGAGAUAAGGAAGAUGAUGAAAACCUCCCUAGCAGCCAGAGACAGGGUCUUGUUGUGUUGCCCAGGCUGGACUCAAACUCCUGGGUUCAAAUGAUUCUUCUGCCUCAGUCUCCCGAGUAGCUGAGACUACAGCCAGGUACUAUUCUAGAUUGUCUUGUGAUAUUUACAAUCUAGGAGAAGGCAGGAGAGAGAACUAAGAACAGAGAGCAUGUUCUGAGAUGUCUGCUGUGUUUGCAGACUUAGAUUUUUGGCUGGACUAUUGGCUUGGGAUAGAUGAAAAUCAUUCCUUGUAUCCCCUGAUCUUAAAGUCAAGACUGAACCAGCCUCCAGAUGCAAGCCUUCAUGGGGCUUCAGAUACCAUGAGGAAUGGGCGUCCCUGCAAUAUUGUCAUGGCUGUCAAAAGUGUUAUUGGAGCUGGACGUGAGGCUUCUCCCCAGCACCAGCAUUCCAUGAAGGCAGCCCUUUUCUAGAUGGAGAAAACAGAACCUGAAGGCACCCGUUUCCCUAAACUGCUCUCACUCAUGUAAACUCCUGGAGGGCAGAGCCAUGCCUGCCAUUUUCAUCAUUGCAUUACCACCACCCAGCACAGUGCCUGGUACAAAAGAGUUGCUCAAUAAAUAAAUCAGGAUGAAUGGACAAAUACACGGAUAGGCACUUUGAACUACAGAUGAGCUUAAAUACUUUGUGUUUUUCUUAGUCAAACAUGUGCAAUUAAGCAUGUGAUAAAUUAUAUGAUGACCACA